rnacentral:tRNA from 1 species
AGGAGUGUAGCUUAGUGGUGGAGCACAUGUUUAGCAAGCAUGAAAGCCCUGGGUUCAAUCCUUAGCCCCCGUA